AGCGAACGCUGGCGGCAGGCCUAACACAUGCAAGUCGAACGAACUCUUCGGAGUUAGUGGCGGACGGGUGAGUAACACGUGGGAACGUGCCUUUAGGUUCGGAAUAACUCAGGGAAACUUGUGCUAAUACCGAAUGUGCCCUUCGGGGGAAAGAUUUAUCGCCUUUAGAGCGGCCCGCGUCUGAUUAGCUAGUUGGUGAGGUAAAGGCUCACCAAGGCGACGAUCAGUAGCUGGUCUGGGAGGAUGAUCAGCCACAUUGGGACUGAGACACGGCCCAAACUCCUACGGGAGGCAGCAGUGGGGAAUCUUGCGCAAUGGGCGAAAGCCUGACGCAGCCAUGCCGCGUGAAUGAUGAAGGUCUUAGGAUUGUAAGAUUCUUUCACCGGGGACGAUAAUGACGGUACCCGGAGAAGAAGCCCCGGCUAACUUCGUGCCAGCAGCCGCAGUAA
rnacentral:rRNA from 1 species